UACGAAGGGGGCUAGCGUUGCUCGGAAUCACUGGGCGUAAAGCGCACGGUAGGCGGACUCUUAAGUCGGUGGUGAAAUCCUGGAGCUCAACUCCAGAACUGCCUUCGAUACUGGGAGUCUCGAGUUCGGGAGAGGUGAGUGGAACUGCGAGUGUAGAGGUGAAAUUCGUAGAUAUUCGCAAGAACACCAGUGGCGAAGGCGGCUCACUGGCCCGAUACUGACGGC
rnacentral:rRNA from 1 species